rnacentral:rRNA from 1 species
AGCAGCCGCGGUAAUUCCAGCUCCAAUAGCGUAUAUUAAAGUUGUUGCAGUUAAAAAGCUCGUAGUUGAACUUCGGGGUUUACCCAUUGGUCAGGCUUAAUUGUCUGUACUGGUGAGAUAAAUCUCUACCUUCUGAGGAACUUUCAUGCCAUUUAUUUAGUGUGAUGGGAAAUCAGGACUGUUACUUUGAAAAAAUUAGAGUGUUUAAAGCAGGCUAACGUCUGAAUACAUUAGCAUGGAAUAAUGAAAUAGGACGGAUUGAUUCUAUUUCGUUGGUUUCUAGGGUCACCGUAAUGAUUAAUAGGGAUAGUUGGGGGCAUUAGUAUUCAAUUGUCAGAGGUGAAAUUCUUGGAUUUAUUGAAGACUAACUACUGCGAAAGCAUCUGCCAAGGAUGUUUUCAUUAAUCAAGAACGAAAGUUAGGGGAUCGAAGACGAUCAGAUACCGUCGUAGUCUUAACCAUAAACUAUGCCGACUAGGGAUCGGACGAAGUUAAUUUUAUAAUGACGCGUUCGGCACCG